rnacentral:rRNA from 1 species
UGGGGAAUAUUGCACAAUGGGCGCAAGCCUGAUGCAGCCAUGCCGCGUGUGUGAAGAAGGCCUUCGGGUUGUAAAGCACUUUCAGCGAGGAGGAAGGUGGUGAGCUUAAUACGCUCAUCAAUUGACGUUACUCGCAGAAGAAGCACCGGCUAACUCCGUGCCAGCAGCCGCGGUAAUACGGAGGGUGCAAGCGUUAAUCGGAAUUACUGGGCGUAAAGCGUACGCAGGCGGUUUGUUAAGUCAGAUGUGAAAUCCCCGGGCUCAACCUGGGAACUGCAUUUGAAACUGGCAAGCUAGAGUCUCGUAGAGGGGGGUAGAAUUCCAGGUGUAGCGGUGAAAUGCGUAGAGAUCUGGAGGAAUACCGGUGGCGAAGGCGGCCCCCCUGGACGAAGACUGACGCUCAGGUGCGAAAGGCGUGGGGAGCAAACAGGAUUAGAUACCCCUGGUAGUCCACGCUGUAAACGAUGUCGAUUUUGGAGGUUGUGCCCUUGAGGCGUGGCUUCCGGAGCUAACGCGUUAAAUCGACCGCCUGGGGAGUACGGCCGCAAGGUUAAAACUCAAAUGAAUUGAC